AAUGUGCAUGGGAGUAGCUGCCGGGGCUUACAUUCUUACCUUAUUUGCUAUGAAGUAUAGACAACGUGUACUUGGUUUGAUACUUGUUUCACCUCUAUGCAAAGAACCAUCUUGGACUGAGUGGUUGUGCAACAAGGGUGGCAAAGGAAAUGUUGCUGAAGCGGUACUAUAGCAAGG